rnacentral:rRNA from 1 species
UACAGAGGGGGCAAGCGUUGUUCGGAAUUACUGGGCGUAAAGGGCGCGUAGGCGGCCUUCUAAGUCGAACGUGAAAUCCCCGGGCUCAACCCGGGAACUGCGUCCGAUACUGAAAGGCUUGAAUCCGGGAGAGGGAUGCGGAAUUCCAGGUGUAGCGGUGAAAUGCGUAGAGAUCAUGAGGAACACCGAUGGCGAAGGCAGGUCUCUGGGCCACUACUGACGCUGAGAAGCGAAAGCAUGGGGAGCGAACAGG